GACAUCUGAUUACGCUUCAACAUCCACCUCCAGUUGCCAGAUUGAUCUGUGGAAGUAAAGCGGUUCAAAGUAAUUAUUUGGACAUAUAUACUGAUCAUAGGACCUACGUACUACUGUUUUAUAGAAAGUAAGAAGUCAUACCGACUCCUGUACAUAAUAAAACUAAAUCCUUAAACCUUUACCUAUAUGGGCAGCACAUCGCCCUUUUGUAAUGUUGUUCAAUAGCUCCCAACUGGUUAGGACAGGACUCCUAUCACUAAUAAUACUAGCUAUGCACUAGAUGGAUUGUACUGCCGUUGCUGGGAAUGCCUCGGCAUUUCCUUUGUCAAAUCAUGCUACAGUGCAUGUAAUGGGCGUUAUUAUGUUGUCCAUUGUCCAGCAGAUAUAUAUGUCUGUUGAUGGAAUCGGGUAUUUGGUUCGAUUCAUAGAUGUCAUUAUAACUACUACUCUGAACUCAAAUUAGAUAUAAGUGUUUAUGUACUCCGUUAUUAUUUGUUGCAUUAUCAGGAGCAAUGGACUUUAUCUAUGUUUUCUAUUUGCUGAUCUUAAUAAAGCAAUCAAUGAAAAGUUCCACUAUUUUUCAACAAAUGAAAAUUUGUAUGUGAUGCAGUACCCCUAUAUAUAGAUGUUGGACUCUGAACAAACUAUCACUUUUUAUUUGGUUUCAAGGAUGGCCACUACUUCAAAACAAAUAAAGAACUUCACAAAUAUGAAAAAUGAGGUCUUAUUGUAAGAAGGAUCAGGAUAUCUAGGGUGUUGUCUACUUGUAAUUCCGUACUCUGGUCGAAUGAAUAUGAUAAUGGGCACUUCGUCACUAAGGGAUAAGCAUAUAUAGCUAUUGAGAUCAAACUAUAUACUAAGGGAAUGGGGACAUUCCUAAGGUCUAUUAUAUAGUUGGACAUGCAUGGGGAAGUAUUUGAAAAUAUUUUCCUCAAGAAUCAUAGCCAGGAAAAUCAGGUCUUCAGUUCUCUUUUAUCUAAAUUGUUUAGCACAAAGACUGGUGAACUCGUUCAGAGAAAAAAAACAAACAACAAAAAAGUUAUUGAACACUAUUCAAGAUUAACUGGAGUUUUUGUUGAAGAUGCAGAGGUGCAGGACUAGAGAUCCUGCUCAAACAUGUCUGGGUUGACUGCGUGUGACCCUAUUCAGUGGAGACUACAAUAAAAGUUAUAUUGAAUAAAGAAUCAACAUGCUCAUCUAUGCAUGCAAAUGCAAAAUAAAAGUUGAGAUAGUUUUGUUAAAAAAGUGAACUCCCCCGGCGCUCCCAGGCCCCUCCACCUCCAUAUAUUUCCAUCUUGAAAAUACAGUCAGAAAACUGAUAUGCGAGAUUUAUAACUGACUUGAAGAAAACUUGCAAGGUUAUUGGGAAUAGAUAUUGGCCUUGUGGGAUAUAUAUCACAUAGUGCUCGUUGAUCUCCUCGGUAAACAGUUUCAUGCUAAGACCUCGUAUACUACUGACUGUACUUCAGAUGGGAUUAUAUGGAGAGCAGGAAAGAACACCACAUAUAAGACAAGAGAACCACAUACAAGUAGUUUUCCAAAAACCAGAACCCAAAGCCCUUGACAAAAAAUCAACCAUAUAUACGAAGGAGCCUUUUCCCUUUGGUGGAUGCAUGGUUCGGACCUCUACCAGCUAGUACAGACGAAGUUCAGUUCAUUAGUCACGGUGCAGUUCAAAAUUGAACGGUCAGUUGCUCAUAUUGUAAUUUCAAAUGAACAGAUAUUUAACUAUUGACCCGAAAGUACUAGACGAUAACCAAAUACAGUAAUAAUGACAUUCUUCAAGAAUCAAGAUGAGAAAAAGAAUACAGUUCCAAGCAGAAGAAAAACCAGAUCAGAAAGCCAAAACUGAAUCCCGUUUUUUCCAUUCAUGAUUCAUCAAGAACAAUAUAAAAAGAAGAAGGCAAGAAAGAUCAGAUCAGCAUAAGCUAUGGUAACGUACCAUACACCACGCAUAUGUGAUACAUCGCUUCGCAAGUUAUCCAUGGCAAAUGUUACCAACAAUUUCAAAGUUAAUACCAGCAAGAGGAGAGAUAACUUCUUAAGCCCUGUGGGUUGGUGAAGGGACAAUGCCAACCAACAUAAUUUACCUUAACAGGUAUAUGUAAUUAGUAU
rnacentral:lncRNA from 1 species